GACGAACGCUGGCGGCGUGCUUAACACAUGCAAGUCGAACGGAAAGGCCCUGCUUUUGUGGGGUGCUCGAGUGGCGAACGGGUGAGUAACACGUGAGUAACCUGCCCUUGACUUUGGGAUAACUUCAGGAAACUGGGGCUAAUACCGGAUAGGAGCUCCUGCUGCAUGGUGGGGGUUGGAAAGUUUCGGCGGUUGGGGAUGGACUCGCGGCUUAUCAGCUUGUUGGUGGGGUAGUGGCUUACCAAGGCUUUGACGGGUAGCCGGCCUGAGAGGGUGACCGGCCACAUUGGGACUGAGAUACGGCCCAGACUCCUACGGGAGGCAGCAGUGGGGAAUAUUGCACAAUGGGCGGAAGCCUGAUGCAGCAACGCCGCGUGCGGGAUGACGGCCUUCGGGUUGUAAACCGCUUUCGCCUGUGACGAAGCGUGAGUGACGGUAAUGGGUAAAGAAGCACCGGCUAACUACGUGCCAGCAGCCGCGGUGAUACGUAGGGUGCGAGCGUUGUCCGGAUUUAUUGGGCGUAAAGGGCUCGUAGGUGGUUGAUCGCGUCGGAAGUGUAAUCUUGGGGCUUAACCCUGAGCGUGCUUUCGAUACGGGUUGACUUGAGGAAGGUAGGGGAGAAUGGAAUUCCUGGUGGAGCGGUGGAAUGCGCAGAUAUCAGGAGGAACACCAGUGGCGAAGGCGGUUCUCUGGGCCUUUCCUGACGCUGAGGAGUGAAAGCGUGGGGAGCGAACAGGCUUAGAUACCCUGGUAGUCCACGCUGUAAACGGUGGGUACUAGGUGUGGGGUCCAUUCCACGGGUUCCGUGCCGUAGCUAACGCUUUAAGUACCCCGCCUGGGGAGUACGGCCGCAAGGCUAAAACUCAAAGGAAUUGACGGGGCCCCGCACAAGCGGCGGAGCAUGCGGAUUAAUUCGAUGCAACGCGUAGAACCUUACCUGGGUUUGACAUGGAUCGGGAGUGCUCAGUGGUGGGUGUGCCUCUUUUGGGGUCGGUUCACAGGUGGUGCAUGGCUGUCGUCAGCUCGUGUCGUGAGAUGUUGGGUUAAGUCCCGCAACGAGCGCAACCCUUGUUCACUGUUGCCAGCACGUUAUGGUGGGGACUCAGUGGGGACCGCCGGGGUCAACUCGGAGGAAGGUGGGGAUGACGUCAAGUCGUCAUGCCCCUUAUGUCCAGGGCUUCACGCAUGCUACAAUGGCUGGUACAGAGAGUGGCGAGCCUGUGAGGGUGAGCGAAUCUCGGAAAGCCGGUCUCAGUUCGGAUUGGGGUCUGCAACUCGACCUCAUGAAGUCGGAGUCGCUAGUAAUCGCAGAUCAGCAACGCUGCGGUGAAUACGUUCCCGGG
rnacentral:rRNA from 1 species